GACGAACGCUGGCGGCGUGCUUAACACAUGCAAGUCGAACGGAAAGGCCCUGCUUUUGUGGGGUGCUCGAGUGGCGAACGGGUGAGUAACACGUGAGUAACCUGCCCUUGACUUUGGGAUAACUUCAGGAAACUGGGGCUAAUACCGGAUAGGAGCUCCUGCUGCAUGGUGGUGGUUGGAAAGUUUCGGCGGUUGGGGAUGGACUCGCGGGUUAUCAGCUUGUUGGGGGGGUAGUGGCUUACCAAGGCUUUGACGGGUAGCCGGCCUGGGAGGGUGACCGGCCACAUUGGGACUGAGGUACGGCGCAGCCUACUACGGGGGGCAGCAGUGGGGAAUAUUGCACAAUGGGCGGGAGCCUGAAGAGGGAACGCCGCGUGCGGAAAGACGGCCUUCGGGUUGUAAACCGAUUUCGCCUGAACCGAACCGUGAGUGACGGUAAUGGGUAAAGAAGCACCGGCUAACUACGUG
rnacentral:rRNA from 1 species